UAAGGCAACUUUGUAAAGCACACUUCAGCUGGUAGAAGAAUCGUCAGAUGUGAUGACAAGCUACAGGGAAAACUGCCUGCUGCCUGGUUCACCUGCCGCAAAGAUAGAGCAUAUUUGUCAUAUGCUUCAACUGGCUGGCUAGAAGAAGUGAAACAGGGGGAGUUGGAUGGGAAAACUCGCAGCACAAACCUCACAAAUGCAGUGAGUGCAGUCUUCUUUCAUCCAGCGCUCCUCGGCCUUCCUUGGAACCCCUUUAACAUCUGUACACCCUGCCUGCCUCAGGCGUGCCUCCAGCUUGUUUAUCUGAAAGGGGAGGCAAAGGAAAGAAGAGUGGGAAUUGAAGCAGAUAGCAACAAAGCCAAUCAAUAACAUGGUUUGAUGAAAUGCUCUAUUCUGUAAGCACACACCUAGAAGGCAAAAGAAACUUCAAAGCCUACAUAAUUUUCCAUUUUCCCCCAGGACUUAAUGAGCUUGAAUCAUCCAGUAUCCAAACAAAUAAACAGUUCUGUAGGUGUUAAAAAAUA
rnacentral:antisense_RNA from 1 species